rnacentral:rRNA from 1 species
GACGAACGCUGGCGGCGUGCUUAACACAUGCAAGUCGAGCGAUGAAGCACCUUCGGGUGUGAAUUAGCGGCGAACGGGUGAGGAACACGUGAGAAAUCUGCCUUCAGCACUGGGAUAACUCCGGGAAACCGGGGCUAAUACCGGAUAUGAAACCUGCGGGCAUCCGCGGGUUUGGAAAGUUUUUCGGUUGAAGAUGAUCUCGCGGCCUAUCAGCUUGUUGGUGAGGUAAUGGCUCACCAAGGCGACGACGGGUAGCCGGCCUGAGAGGGCGACCGGCCACACUGGGAAUGGGACACGGCCCAGACUCCUACGGGAGGAAGCAGUGGGGAAUAUUGGGCAAUGGAGGAAACUCUGACCCAGCGACGCCGCGUGCGGGAUGAAGGCCUUCGGGUUGUAAACCGCUUUCAACAGGGAAGAAGCGAAAGUGACGGUACCUGCAGAAGAAGCACCGGCUAACUAUGUGCCAGCAGCCGCCGUAA